GACGAACGCUGGCGGCGUGCUUAACACAUGCAAGUGGAGCGACGAACCAGGGCUUGCCCUGGGGCAAAGCCGCGAACGGGUGAGUAACACGUGGGUAACCUACCCCGAUGACCGGGACAACCCGAGGAAACUCGGGCUAAUACCGGAUGUGUCCCACACUCAUGAGGGUGUGGUGCAAAGGUAGCUUCGGCCUCCGCAUCGGGAUGGGCCCGCGGCCCAUUAGCUUGUUGGUGGGGUAACGGCCUACCAAGGCUGCGAUGGGUAGCUGGUCUGAGAGGACGAUCAGCCACACUGGGACUGAGACACGGCCCAGACUCCUACGGGAGGCUG
rnacentral:rRNA from 1 species